UUAAAUUCGGCCCCUCUCUCCUUUCUCUAUCAUUUGGGCAAAAAUCGAAUUAUGGUUCCUUAAGUCCAGCCCAAGGAUUAAAACGCACCGUAGCAUCAUAUCCCCAAGCCAUGUGAAAUGUGAAUCAGCACCGUUCGCUUCGUGUGGUGGCAACACGGGGUUAUCUCUACGUGUUACCAUGAUCAUCACAAGGUCUCUGAACCUUUUCAUCAAGCAUUAGACAAUCAUCACCGUCCAAUUUGCAUAAUCCAGCUCCCAGAGAGUAGAGGACUCCGGUCCCCAUUCUUCGUCUUCUAAUUCCUUCUCUUCUCCGUUGCCUUUCUCGAUUUAGCUGAAUUCCCCAAUCCUUAAAGAGAAUCUGUGACGCUUCUCGCUAUGGCACCCAUUAGGGGCAUUUUUACGUUGCAAAGAGCUACUUUGAUUCGUCGUCAUAGUGAUAAGUGGAAUAUAGGCUUCAAAUCAUUCAGUACCCAAGCUGCAACAAAUGCUGGUAGUCCACAGCCUCCACCACCUCCUCCACCUCCGGAGAAAACCCAUUUUGGUGGUUUGAAAGAUGAGGACCGGAUUUUUACCAACUUGUAUGGGUUGCAUGACCCUUUUCUCAAAGGUGCCAUGAAACGGGGUGACUGGUAUAGAACUAAGGACUUGGUACUUAAGGGUGCUGAUUGGAUUGUUAAUGAAGUCAAGAAGUCUGGCCUCCGAGGACGUGGUGGUGCUGGUUUCCCCUCUGGUCUGAAAUGGUCAUUCAUGCCAAAAGUAUCUGAUGGCCGCCCUUCCUAUCUCGUGGUCAAUGCUGAUGAAAGUGAACCUGGAACUUGCAAAGACAGGGAAAUUAUGCGCCAUGAUCCACACAAGCUGUUAGAGGGCUGCUUAAUUGCUGGGGUGGGAAUGAGAGCCUCUGCUGCUUAUAUCUACAUUAGGGGUGAAUAUGUGAAUGAACGUAAAAACCUGGAAAGAGCACGAAAGGAAGCUUAUGAAGCUGGGUUUUUGGGCAAGAAUGCAUGUGGAUCAGGCUAUGAUUUUGAUGUUCAUAUCCACUAUGGUGCUGGUGCUUAUAUUUGUGGUGAAGAGACUGCUCUUUUAGAAAGCCUAGAAGGAAAACAAGGGAAACCAAGGCUGAAGCCUCCCUUCCCAGCCAAUGCAGGGUUAUAUGGCUGCCCCACAACUGUUACAAAUGUGGAAACAGUGGCGGUGUCUCCCACCAUUUUGAGGCGUGGACCAGAAUGGUUUGCUAGUUUUGGUAGGAAGAACAAUUCUGGGACAAAAUUGUUUUGUGUGUCAGGUCAUGUGAAUAAGCCUUGCACAGUUGAAGAGGAGAUGAGUAUUCCUCUAAAAGAGUUAAUAGAUAGGCACUGUGGAGGUGUUCGAGGUGGAUGGGAUAAUCUACUUGCAAUAAUACCAGGGGGUUCUUCUGUCCCAUUGAUUCCCAAGCACAUAUGUGAUGAUGUGCUAAUGGAUUAUGAUGCACUUAAGGCUGUCCAGUCAGGGCUGGGGACUGCAGCCGUGAUUGUGAUGGAUAAAUCUACUGAUGUUGUGGAUGCAAUUGCAAGGUUGUCAUACUUCUACAAGCAUGAAAGCUGUGGGCAGUGCACUCCUUGCAGGGAGGGGACAGGGUGGCUUUGGAUGAUCAUGGAAAGGUUGAAGGUUGGGAAUGCAAAGUUGGAAGAGAUAGAUAUGCUUCAAGAGGUGACAAAACAAAUUGAAGGUCACACUAUCUGUGCAUUGGGUGAUGCUGCAGCUUGGCCUGUGCAGGGCCUCAUCAGGCAUUUUAGACCAGAGCUUGAAAGAAGGAUUAAGGAGCGUGCAGAGAGGGAGUUGCUGGAGGCUGCUGCAUAAGGUUUUCUAUACGGUAUUGUGUCUUAUACUACUAAUAUAAUACUAAAUUAGAUUUCAAAAGGAAAUGUAAUAAUUGCAUCAUGAAUAUGCAUGGACUUGGGUGAUUAUUAUUAUAAAAUUGAUAUAUCCCUGAUUGAUGCUUUUAAACAUUGCAGAUGGGUGGUCAAGGUUAGCUUUAUUUGUAGAGAUUUUGUAGUGAUUUCAUGAAAAAUUACUGCCUCCCCCUCACCAAUACACCCCAACAUGAUUGAUGUGCAGGAUAUGCGAUAUAAUCACUAGAUUGCCUUAUUCCUGUAUAAGGUUAACAUGUUUAUAGAAUAUUAGGUGACCAUUUUCAUCCUCAAAGAAGGCGCAGAAGUAUGAAUAGUGGGGAAGAGGAGGAACAAACCUCCCAUCUAGCCUCUACACCACUUAAAUUGCUGUACUAUGGAAUCUUAUCAAUUUUUCUCACAGCAGAAACAUUGGGAGCUACUAACCUUCUUUGGAUUUAUCUGUCUUUUAGUAGUAUAAGUGGAUGCUCCAUUUUCUAACACUGUAUUGCUCCCUGGUAGCUUGGCUUCUGACACUCUGUUUUUGUGGUGGUUAUGGGAUAGAGGAGGAAGUUGUAAUCACUUGGAAAUACAUUCAUGAGCAUCUGCAUUCUUUUUAUAUUGAAUUACCUUACAACAUUGAAUUAUAAGUAGACACACGUGGAUGUACAUGAUCAAAGUGUUGCAUGAAGAGCUGUCUAUACACUUUUAUUAAAAUUAAGGAUGUAAGUAGAUUUGUAAUGUUCUCUAGUUUAUGAUUUUUUUCCCUGCAUGUUGAAAAUUAAUUAUUCAGGGGCCAAAGUAUUGGUGCUACCUAAUCCGAUAAUUAAAACAUCUGACCACUUUGAGUAGAUCAUACAUAACAAGCUUACCUUUUCAUGAGUUGAUAUCUAGAUUUCUGUUGAGCUAAUCUGUGUGCAAAAAAUUACAAAAAUUUUCUGUACAAUUAAUGAUUGGUUUGUGUUCUUUUGUGCAGGGAAAUGAUGCCAAUGAUGGACCUUGUGGAAUAAAUGAACUACCGUUUAGUUUGGUGGUUAGUUGACUCUGGCCUCAAGCAGUCGUAUUAGAUCUCUUUUUUGUUUUAGAACUGUAUCAAAUAUGAGUUUCACUGCUCCAGAGAAAUAGUGAUUUUAUCUGGGAAGUGAUGAGUUCUUAUUAAUUAAUGUGUUUUAACAUUUAUCUGGGAAACCUUUUUGAAGGAAAAAGAAGCAACAAACGUUAAUAAUAUCCAUAUUUCAACUCUUUGAUAAGAUUGACAGAUUUUUGGUUUUCUAUUGGAAUUGGAUGUUGUAUGCUUGCUGCAAUCAGGCAUGAAGGUAAAAUAUUAUUCUCUCACUGUAUUCUUCUUAUCUUCUUGAGGUUAUG
rnacentral:misc_RNA from 1 species